rnacentral:rRNA from 1 species
GAGUUUGAUCCUGGCUCAGGAUGAACGCUAGCGGCAGGCUUAAUACAUGCAAGUCGAGGGGCAGCAUGUCCCGCAGCAAUGCGGGAUGAUGGCGACCGGCAAACGGGUGCGGAACACGUACACAACCUUCCUUUAAGCGGGGAAUAGCCCGGGGAAACCCGGAUUAAUACCCCAUAGUAUGGUGAAAGGGCAUCUUUUUACUAUUAAAGAUUUAUCACUUGAAGAUGGGUGUGCGGCUGAUUAGCUAGUUGGCGGGGUAACGGCCCACCAAGGCAACGAUCAGUAACUGGUGUGAGAGCACGACCAGUCACACGGGCACUGAGACACGGGCCCGACUCCUACGGGAGGCGGCAGUAAGGAAUAUUGGUCAAUGGACGAAAGUCUGAACCAGCCAUGCCGCGUGGAGGAUGAAGGUCCUCUGGAUUGUAAACUUCUUUUAUCUGGGACGAAAAAGGUUUUUCUAGACCGACUGACGGUACCAGAUGAAUAAGCACCGGCUAACUCCGUGCCAGCAGCCGCUGUAAC